rnacentral:rRNA from 1 species
GACGAACGCUGGCGGCGUGCCUAAUACAUGCAAGUAGAACGCUGAAGGAGGAGCUUGCUUCUCCGGAUGAGUUGCGAACGGGUGAGUAACGCGUAGAUAACCUGCCUGGUAGCGGGGGAUGACUAUUGGAAACGAUAGCUAAUACCGCAUAACAGUAGAUGUUGCAUGACAUUUGCUUAAAAGGUGCAAUUGCAUCACUACCAGAUGGACCUGCGUUGUAUUAGCUAGUUGGUGAGGUAACGGCUCACCAAGGCGACGAUACAUAGCCGACCUGAGAGGGUGAGCGGCCACACUGGGACUGAGACACGGCCCAGACUCCUCCGGGGGGCAGCAGUAGGGAAUCUUCGGAAAUGGACGGAAGGCUGCCCGAGCAACGCCGGGGGGGUGAAGAAGGUUUUCGGAUCGUAAAGCUCUUUUGUAAGAGAAGAACGGGUGUGGGAGGGGAAAGUUCCAACGGUGACGGUAUUUUACCAAAAAGGGACGGCUAACUACGU